GACGAACGCUGGCGGCGUGCCUAACACAUGCAAGUCGAACGGGGGUAUUUAUUUCGAUGAAUACCUUAGUGGCGAACGGGUGAGUAACGCGUGAGCAACCUAUCCUUAAGAGGGGGAUAACAUCUGGAAACAGAUGCUAAUACUGCAUAAGACCACACUGCCGCAUGGCAGAGGGGUCAAAGGAGCAAUCCGUUUAAGGAGGGGCUCGCGUCCCAUUAGAUAGUUGGUGAGGUAACAGCUCACCAAGUCAGCGAUGGGUAGCCGAGCUGAGAGGCUGAUCGGCAACACUGGAACUGAGACACGGUCCAGACUCCUACGGGAGGCAGCAGUGGGGAAUAUUGGGCAAUGGGGGGAACCCUGACCCAGCAACGCCGCGUGAGGGAAGAAGGCCUUCGGGUUGUAAACCUCUGUCAUUAGGGAAGAAGAAAGUGACGGUACCUAAUGAGGAAGCCCCGGCAAACUUCGUGCCAGCCGCCGCCGUAA
rnacentral:rRNA from 1 species